rnacentral:rRNA from 1 species
GCGUUAAUCGGAAUUACUGGGCGUAAAGGGCGCGUAGGCGGCCAAUUAAGUUGGAUGUGAAAUCCCUGGGCUUAACCUAGGAACUGCAUACAAUACUGGUUGGCUAGAGUGCAGUAGAGGGUAGUGGAAUUUCCGGUGUAGCGGUGAAAUGCGUAGAUAUCGGAAGGAACACCAGUGGCGAAGGCGGCUAUCUGGACUGACACUGACGCUGAGGCGCGAAAGCGUG